AGUCAUUGACAAGGACAUCGUCAUGGACCAGUGGUGAAGAGCCUCGAGAGAAGGUUAAUUUUUCGAAAGGAGAAGUCCACUAUUUCAGCUUCAUCAUUCAGCCUGGAAACUGAACUGCAUCAUAAAACUUGUGCUUGAAAAGUGUCAUGGGACCCAUAUUAAGUUUCCAAAUUUGAUCUGCUGCACACAAGUAGCUUUGAAGAAGAAGGAUCCCAGCUUAAAGAAAAACACAUCACAUCCAUAAUUGUUUGACAUCAUCUUCAAGCACACCUGGAUUCCUUGUUGCAAUGUCUUCAAAACAAAUGUAAAAAUUAAAGGAUUUCAGUGGUGAGCUCAUAAUGAUGGGAUCAAAAGGAAGUGAACUGGACUCUGAGGGACUUAACACAAGGUAAGUUCAUUUCAAUACAUUUUAUGUCAAGAUUAAUUCUGUGAUUUAAAUUUAUAUUUACACAUUCUACAAAUGCUGUCUUCCUACCUCAGAUUGUGAUGGACCUAGAAUGCGACACCGUUUACGAAUAAGUCAAGAACCAAAUGAAACACUAUUUUCCAGAGCGCAGAUUAU
ensembl:processed_transcript